GUGGUUGUAGCUCACUGGUAGAGCGCUCGCUUAGCAUGCGAGAAGGCCCGGGUUCGAUGCCCAGCACUUCCA
rnacentral:tRNA from 1 species